CUAAUUUUAGCAUUACAUAUACUAAAAUUGGAAUGAUACAGAGAUUAGCAUGGCCUCUGUGCAAAGAUGGUACACAAAUUUGUAAAAGUAAACUUUAUAUU
rnacentral:snRNA from 2 species